rnacentral:lncRNA from 1 species
CCCUACAGACCACAGGAUACAUCAUCAGAACCAAAAAUUAAAUUUACAAAACUAAAGAAUGACAACCACAACAAAAUUUCGAUUUAGAUCAAACAAAUGACGAAAUAAAUCACCCUCUUGGGUUAGCUUCAGCUAACAAUCUCAACAAAUGACAAGAUAAAGGUCUGAAAUCCAAAGCCCAGUUCUAUUUCUACUCAAAACAGAAAAAAGGCCAUGACCCAAAUACAAACAGUCCCUGUAAAACAAAGAAACCAACAAAAACACCAUAGGGGGGGCUGUGGCCAAAAGCAGAGGUCAAAUCCACCUUUACCCACCAAACUCUAAUCAUAUAAUUUUCUGGCCAUACAGACCCAAAAACCCAUACCCCCUCCCCACACAAGAACUUAAACAAACAAUAAUCACGUAAAUUUCAGUCUCUGUGCACAUAAACAAGAAAUAAAAUAAGGGAAAACAAACUCACAGUAAUGAUAAAAGGCCUUUUGGUCAGCUACUGAAUCGUACCAGACGAAAGGGAUGGAGAUCUGAAAGAAACAGAGCAAUACAUGUGGGUCGUGAAAGAGGGUUAGAUCUGUAGAUCCAUCAAAUCAGACAGUAAACAGGGUCUGUGAUAGUUGUUGGGUUUUUGCUAUUCUUCUCUUCUUUUUCUUGAGAGAAGAUGAAGAAGAUGGAUAAUAGAUAAAGAGGGGAAAUUGAAGAGCAAUAAGUAGCAGUAACAAAUAAAAAUAAAAGGAAUAAAAAAAAAACCAACAAAAAAAUAAAUAAAUAAAUAAAGCUUUGAGUGUGAUUGAACAAACUGAAACUCUCUCUCUUUGUAGUCCCUUUUGGUCUUUCUCAGCACUGAGCAGACAAACCCUAUAAAAGAAAACGAACAAAGCGAUGGCCGAGAGCCAGCAAUGCAAAUGGGCAGCCAUGGGCUCCACUUAUAAUCACAGCCAGACAAGCUAGUUUGUUCAUACAGCUUGAGUCUUGACAGAAUAAAUAAAUUUAUUUAAUUAAUUAAUUAUUAAAAAAAAAAAAAAAAAACCCUUCCGCUAAAAAUGCCCUUCAACUAAAU